UACGUAGGGGGCGAGCGUUAUCCGGAAUUAUUGGGCGUAAAGAGUGCGUAGGUGGUUUUUUAAGCGUGGGGUGAAAGGCAAUGGCUCAACCAUUGUAAGCCUUGCGAACUGGAAGACUUGAGUGCAGGAGAGGAAAGCGGAAUUCCUAGUGUAGCGGUGAAAUGCGUAGAUAUUAGGAGGAACACCAGUGGCGAAGGCGGCUUUCUGGACUGUAACUGACACUGAGGCACGAAAGCGUGGGGAGCAAACAGGAUUAGAUACCCUGGUAGUCCACGCCGUAAACGAUGAGCACUAGGUGUCGGGGUCGCAAGGCUUCGGUGCCGCAGUUAACGCAUUAAGUGCUCCGCCUGGGGAGUACGCACGCAAGUGUGAA
rnacentral:rRNA from 1 species